rnacentral:rRNA from 1 species
AGGACGACGCUGGCGGCGUGCCUAAUACAUGCAAGUCGAACGGCUUUUCUAUGGAAGCUUGCUUCCACUGAGAAGAUAGUGGCGAACGGGUGAGUAACACGUGGGUAACCUGCCCAUAAGAGGGGGAUAACAUCCGGAAACGGGUGCUAAUACCGCAUAGUUUUCUUGAUCGCAUGAUUGAGAAAGGAAAGACGGCCUUUGUGCUGUCGCUUAUGGAUGGACCCGCGGCGUAUUAGUUAGUUGGUGAGGUAACGGCUCACCAAGACGAUGAUACGUAGCCGACCUGAGAGGGUGAUCGGCCACAUUGGGACUGAGACACGGCCCAAACUCCUACGGGAGGCAGCAGUAGGGAAUCUUCCGCAAUGGACGAAAGUCUGACGGAGCAACGCCGCGUGAGUGAAAGAAGGUUUUCGGAUCGUAAAACUCUGUUGUCAGAGAAGAACAAGUUGGAGAGUAACUGCUCCAGCCUUGACGGUAUCUGACCAGAAAGCCACGGCUAACUACGUGCCAGCCGCCGC